rnacentral:rRNA from 1 species
UUCCGGUUGAUCCUGCCGGACCCCACUGCUAUCGGGAUAGGACUAAGACAUGCUAGUCGAGCGCCUUCCAGCCACGAAGAAGGCGCGGCACACAGCUCAGUAACACGUAGCUAACCUGCCCUCGGGACGAGAACACCCCCGGGAAACUGGGGCUAAUUCUCGAUAGGCGAAGAACUCUGGAAUGAGUCUUUACCCAAAAGACGUUUAGAUCAUGCUUCUAGGCGUCGCCCAAGGAUGGGGCUGCGACCGAUCAGGUAGUUGGUGAGGCAAUGGCUCACCAAGCCUUUAACCGGUGCGGGCCGUGGGAGCGGGAGCCCGGAGAUGGGCACUGAGACAAGGGCCCAGGCCCUACGGGGCGCAGCAGUCGCGAAAACUUUGCAAUAAGCGAAAGCUUGACAGGGCUAUCCCGAGUGCCAUCCGCUGAGGAAGGCUUUUACCCAGUCUAGUAAGCUGGGGGAAUAAGGAGAGGGCAAGUCUGGUGUCAGCCGCCGCGGUAAUACCAGCUCUCCGAGUGGUGUGGAUGUUUAUUGGGCCUAAAGCAUCCGUAGCUGGCUGAGUUAGUCCCCUGUUAAAUCCACCGAAUCAAUCGUUGGAUUGCGGGGGAUACUGCUCGGCUAGGGGACGGGAGAGGCAGACGGUAUUUCCGGGGUAAGGGUGAAAUCUUAUAAUCCCGGGAAGACCACCAGUGGCGAAGGCUGUCUGCUAGAACGCGCCCGACGGUGAGGGAUGAAAGCUGGGGUAGCGAACCGGAUUAGAUACCCGGGUAGUCCCAGCCGUAAACGAUGCAGGCUAGGUGUUUGGGCGGCCACGUGCCGCUCUAGUGCCGCAGGGAAGCUGUUAAGCCUGCCGCCUGGGGAGUACGAUCGCAAGAUUGAAACUUAAAGGAAUUGGCGGGGGAGCACCACANAGGGGUGAAGCUUGCGGUUUAAUUGGAUUCAACGCCGGA